rnacentral:snRNA from 1 species
GGUUAAGUUAGGCCACAUU